rnacentral:tRNA from 1 species
GGGUCGUUAGCUCAGUUGGCAGAGCACCUGACUCUUAAUCAGGGGGUCACAGGUUCAAGGCCUGUACGACCCACCA